rnacentral:rRNA from 1 species
AUGGCCCAGGAUGAACGCUAGCGGCAGGCUUAACACAUGCAAGUCGAGGGGCAUCGGGAGUAGCAAUACUGCCGGCGACCGGCGCAAGGAUGCGUAACGCGUGAGCAACAUGCCCGUAUCAGGGGGAUAAUCCAUGGAAACGUGGUCUAAUACCCCAUAGUAAUUAUGUAAGGCAUCUUAUAUAAUUUAAAGCUUUGGUGGAUACGGAUUGGCUCGCGUGACAUUAGCUAGAUGGUAAGGUAACGGCUUACCAUGGCUACGAUGUCUAGGGGUUCUGAGAGGAAGGCCCCCCACACUGGAACUGAGACACGGUCCAGACUCCUACGGGAGGCAGCAGUGAGGAAUAUUGGACGAUGGAUGGAAAUCUGAUCCAGCCAUGCCGCGUGCCAGGAAGACGGCCCUAUGGGUUGUAAACUGCUUUUGUAUGGGAGCAAUAAGGGCUACGCGUAGUCCGAUGAGAGUACCAUACGAAUAAGCACCGGCUAACUCCGUGCCAGCCGCAGC